UACGUAGGGGGCAAGCGUUGUCCGGAUUUAUUGGGCGUAAAGCGCGCGCAGGCGGUUCUUUAAGUCUGGUGUCUAAGUGCGGGGCUCAACCCCGUGAUGCACUGGAAACUGGGGAACUUGAGGGCUUCAGAGGGAUGUGGAAUUCCAGGUGGAGUGGUGAAAUGCGUAGAGAUCUGGAAGAACACCAAAGGCGAAGGCAGCAUCCUGGGAAGUUCCUGACGCUCGGGUGCGAAAGCCAGGGGAGCGAACGGG
rnacentral:rRNA from 1 species